UGGAUAGUUUUUUUGGACACU
ensembl:piRNA 21ur-6528 ncRNA